ensembl:lncRNA
GAAGAAGAAGGAGAAGAAGAGAAGACUUGUUUUAAUGUUUCGGGGGACGUGCCUCAGUUAACUAGUCUAGAAAUCACACUUUGCGUGCAACGCUUGCAGAAAUCGCAAUUCAGGUUCGGUAUUAUUGAACACCAGCCCCUUUAAAGGUAAGAUGAGUUCAGGAAACCCGGUGUCAGGUGUUGCUAAAUCGUUACCUACGCUUGUAAGAUUAUUUAGUGCGAUUGCAUCAGGUUAUGUCUGGAGAAAACACAUGAGAAAAUAAAACAGGACAGAUACAAAUAAUGAUAGAUUCGCCUGCUGAAUCACAGUAAAUGCAACACACUUAAUUAAUGCAUUUCUAUGUGACAGUAACGCAUUGAAUGGUUUUUAAAAUUAAUAAUAAGUAAUAACAAACUAUGGAGUUUGUAGUAGUAAUAAUAAUAAUAAUAAAUAAACAUGCUUUUAACUGGUCCAGUUUGGCACUCACAUGUUGUAUUGUGACCUAUUAAUAUUGCAAUGAUAUUAAUUAUAACUCUAUUUUUGUUUUAUAGGUUUAACAGUGUGAAAUCACAAUCUUUCCAAACACCUCCUGGACACUUAAAUGGCCGGCUACGUUCACACUUGGGGUGUUUUGGAAGAAGAUGGAUGGGUGAGGCAGAGGGUCCAAUCGAUGGAUGCAAAAUUGUUUUUUAGGAGAGCUGAUCAGCCUUGGAGGCCGCGUGUUCUCUCUGUUCCUGCAAGCGCUGCUGUGAGUGUGAAAUACGGCAGACAGACGAGGAGAACCUCAGAUGAGUUUGAUAUUCUGCUCGAAAAGCGGAUGAAGAGGAUGUGUAAGGGCAGACCAGCCUCACAGACACAGCGCUUCUCCAUGAGCUUAAGCUUCGUCUGGAGCCAUGAAGAGUGUGACGCAGACGCAGAGAGGAGGAGACGCUAGAGGCUAACGUACCAUGCAGCUUCUUCAGCUUCCGUUUCCCGAAACGCUUUCUAACAACAAGUAUACUGAUGACACUUUGUAUCUGCUUUCAAGUUGUCGAGAAGAAAAUUGCAUAUACAUGGAUAUAUGACUCUAAAGCUCUAGACAUUUAAAGGUGCUGUCGUUUUUCGACCGUCAUAAAGCAUGAAAAUACCGUAUGUCUGCAGAUAUUUAGGAAACAUGCUAAGCUCACAUAAUUGUUUUUCUGGAAAACAACACUAC